rnacentral:rRNA from 1 species
CCUGGUUGAUUCUGCCAGUAGUCAUAUGCUUGUCUCAAAGAUUAAGCCAUGCAUGUCUAAGUAUAAGCAAUCUAUACAGUGAAACUGCGAAUGGCUCAUUAAAUCAGUUAUCGUUUAUUUGAUAGUACCUUACUACUUGGAUAACCGUGGUAAUUCUAGAGCUAAUACAUGCUAAAAACCCCGACUUCGGAAGGGGUGUAUUUAUUAGAUAAAAAACCAAUGCUCUUCGGGGCUCCUUGGUGAUUCAUAAUAACUUAACGAAUCGCAUGGCCUUGUGCCGGCGAUGGUUCAUUCAAAUUUCUGCCCUAUCAACUUUCGAUGGUAGGAUAGUGGCCUACCAUGGUUUCAACGGGUAACGGGGAAUUAGGGUUCUAUUCCGGAGAGGGAGCCUGAGAAACGGCUACCACAUCCAAGGAAGGCAGCAGGCGCGCAAAUUACCCAAUCCCGACACGGGGAGGUAGUGACAAUAAAUACUGAUACAGGGCUCUUUUGAGUCUUGUAAUUGGAAUGAGUACAAUUUAAAUCCCUUAACGAGGAACAAUUGGAGGGCAAGUCUGGUGCCAGCAGCCGCGGUAAUUCCAGCUCCAAUAGCGUAUAUUAAAGUUGUUGCAGUUAAAAAGCUCGUAGUUGAACCUUGGGCCUGGCUGGCCGGUCCGCCUCACCGCGUGCACUGGUCCGGCCGGGCCUUUCCUCCUGGGGAGCCGCAUGCCCUUCACUGGGUGUGUCGGGGAACCAGGACUUUUACUUUGAAAAAAUUAGAGUGUUCAAAGCAGGCCUAUGCUCGAAUACAUUAGCAUGGAAUAAUAGAAUAGGACGUGUGGUUCUAUUUUGUUGGUUUCUAGGACCGCCGUAAUGAUUAAUAGGGAUAGUCGGGGGCAUCAGUAUUCAAUUGUCAGAGGUGAAAUUCUUGGAUUUAUUGAAGACUAACUACUGCGAAAGCAUUUGCCAAGGAUGUUUUCAUUAAUCAGUGAACGAAAGUUAGGGGAUCGAAGACGAUCAGAUACCGUCGUAGUCUUAACCAUAAACUAUGCCGACUAGGGAUCGGGCGAUGUUAUCUUUUUGACUCGCUCGGCACCUUACGAGAAAUCAAAGUUUUUGGGUUCUGGGGGGAGUAUGGUCGCAAGGCUGAAACUUAAAGAAAUUGACGGAAGGGCACCACCAGGAGUGGAGCCUGCGGCUUAAUUUGACUCAACACGGGGAAACUCACCAGGUCCAGACACAAUAAGGAUUGACAGAUUGAGAGCUCUUUCUUGAUUUUGUGGGUGGUGGUGCAUGGCCGUUCUU